rnacentral:rRNA from 1 species
AGCGAACGUUAGCGGCGGGCUUAACACAUGCAAGUCGCACGAGAACGAGGGGGCAAACUCCUCUAGUAAAGUGGCGCACGGGUGCGUAACACGUAGGUGAACUACCCUCCGAUGGGGGACAACCGGGCCGAAAGGCUGGCUAAUACCGCGUACGUCAGCGGGACAUUCGAGUCCUGUUGGGAAAGCGGCCCUCUUCACGAAAGGUCGCGUCGGAGGUUGUGCCUGCGGCCCAUCAGCUAGUUGGUGAGGUAAUGGCUCACCAAGGCUAAGACGGGUAGCUGGUCUGAGAGGAUGAUCA